UGGCAUGGCACACCAUUCACAGGGCAUCA
rnacentral:piRNA from 1 species